rnacentral:rRNA from 1 species
AUUGAACGCUGGCGGCAUGCCUUACACAUGCAAGUCGAACGGCAGCACGGGAGCAAUCCUGGUGGCGAGUGGCGAACGGGUGAGUAAUAUAUCGGAACGUGCCCAGUCGUGGGGGAUAACGCAGCGAAAGCUGUGCUAUUACCGCAUACGAUCUACGGAUGAAAGCGGGGGAUCGCAAGACCUCGCGCGAUUGGAGCGGCCGAUAUAAGAUUAGCUAGUUGGUGAGGUAAAGGCUCACCAAGGCGACGAUCUGUAGCUGGUCUGAGAGGACGACCAGCCACACUGGAACUGAGAAACGGUCCAGAAUCCUACGGGAGGCAGCAGUGGGGAAUUUUGGACAAUGGGCGAAAGCCUGAUCCAGCAAGGCCGCGUGCAGGAUGAAGGCCUUCGGGUUGUAAACUGCUUUUGUACGGAACGAAACGGUGAGCUCUAAUAAAGUUUGCUAAUGACGGUACCGUAAGAAUAAGCACCGGCUAACUACGUGCCAGCCGCCGCCGUAA